rnacentral:rRNA from 3 species
AGACCCGAAACCCGGUGAUCUAGCCAUGGGCAGGUUGAAGGUUGGGUAACACUAACUGGAGGACCGAACCGACUAAUGUUGAAAAAUUAGCGGAUGACCUGUGGCUGGGGGUGAAAGGCCAAUCAAACCGGGAGAUAGCUGGUUCUCCCCGAAAGCUAUUUAGGUAGCGCCUCGUGAAUUCAUCUCCGGGGGUAGAGCACUGUUUCGGCUAGGGGGCCAUCCCGGCUUACCAACCCGAUGCAAACUGCGAAUACCGGAGAAUGUUAUCACGGGAGACACACGGCGGGUGCUAACGUCCGUCGUGAAGAGGGAAACAACCCAGACCGCCAGCUAAGGUCCCAAAGUCAUGGUUAAGUGGGAAACGAUGUGGGAAGGCCCAGACAGCCAGGAUGUUGGCUUAGAAGCAGCCAUCAUUUAAAGAAAGCGUAAUAGCUCACUGGUCGAGUCGGCCUGCGCGGAAGAUGUAACGGGGCUAAACCAUGCACCGAAGCUGCGGCAGCGACGCUUAUGCGUUGUUGGGUAGGGGAGCGUUCUGUAAGCCUGUGAAGGUGUGUCGUGAGGCAUGCUGGAGGUAUCAGAAGUGCGAAUGCUGACAUAAGUAACGAUAAAGCGGGUGAAAAGCCCGCUCGCCGGAAGACCAAGGGUUCCUGUCCAACGUUAAUCGGGGCAGGGUGAGUCGACCCCUAAGGCGAGGCCGAAAGGCGUAGUCGAUGGGAAACGGGUUAAUAUUCCCGUACUUGGUGUUACUGCGAAGGGGGGACGGAGAAGGCUAUGUUGGCCGGGCGACGGUUGUCCCGGUUUAAGCGUGUAGGUGUGUGUUCCAGGUAAAUCCGGUUCACUUUAACACUGAGGCGUGAUGACGAGGCACUACGGUGCUGAAGCAACAAAUGCCCUGCUUCCAGGAAAAGCCUCUAAGCAUCAGGUAACAUCAAAUCGUACCCCAAACCGACACAGGUGGUCAGGUAGAGAAUACCAAGGCGCUUGAGAGAACUCGGGUGAAGGAACUAGGCAAAAUGGUGCCGUAACUUCGGGAGAAGGCACGCUGACACGUAGGUGAAGUGAUUUACUCAUGGAGCUGAAGUCAGUCGAAGAUACCAGCUGGCUGCAACUGUUUAUUAAAAACACAGCACUGUGCAAACACGAAAGUGGACGUAUACGGUGUGACGCCUGCCCGGUGCCGGAAGGUUAAUUGAUGGGGUCAGCGCAAGCGAAGCUCCUGAUCGAAGCCCCGGUAAACGGCGGCCGUAACUAUAACGGUCCUAAGGUAGCGAAAUUCCUUGUCGGGUAAGUUCCGACCUGCACGAAUGGCGUAAUGAUGGCCAGGCUGUCUCCACCCGAGACUCAGUGAAAUUGAACUCGCUGUGAAGAUGCAGUGUACCCGCGGCAAGACGGAAAGACCCCGUGAACCUUUACUAUAGCUUGACACUGAACAUUGAGCCUUGAUGUGUAG